UUUCGGUGGGAAUCAUUAUUUUUUGCAAUGCCAAACCAAGGAGUCACUUACCGGUAGUUUUUGAUAAAGAUUGGCAGUUUAUUCUAUUUAUUGUUCUAUACAAUAUAAGUGGCGGUUUAUUGAUAAACGUCGGUUGUCUUAGUGUGCCUGAGCUCUCAGAAGGACAACCAGAAAUCGCUCUGAAAUUAUUGUCUGUUUUCAUUUCGGUUACUGCUGCAGCAUUUUCUGCCAAUGGUGUGUUAAUUGUGAAAUUGUUAUGAAAUGAGGUACGUUUUCGACAAGAAAUGCAGAUGAGAAAUUUGUUACCAUUCACUGACAUGGCAUGCAUUCAAAUUCAAUAAAUAUCUAAUAAAAAUAA